rnacentral:sRNA from 1 species
GCCAAGGAGUCCCUCCCAGAGCCCAUGCUCAGGAAGGUGGCACUGAGGUGACUUCCCUGUCCUCUUUUACAAGAAGAUCUGGGAGGCACUGUCCCCUUCCUCCUUGGCAUGUGAAGAAAAGUUUGCUGCUGAGAUUCCACGGAGUAGGUGAUAGGAUUCCUCUUAAUUAUAUUCAUCAAAAAUACAAUUUUUUACAAAGUUUGCUUAUUUCUAUUUUGGUGCUGGGAAUUGAAUGCAGGGGCACUUUAUCACUGAGUCUCAUCCCCAGUCCUUUUU